ACGUGGUAUCCUGUCUGAAUAUGGGGGGACCAUCCUCCAAGGCUAAAUACUCCUGACUGACCGAUAGUGAACCAGUACCGUGAGGGAAAGGCGAAAAGAACCCCGGCGAGGGGAGUGAAAAAGAACCUGAAACCGUGUACGUACAAGCAGUGGGAGCACCUUCGGGUGUGACUGCGUACCUUUUGUAUAAUGGGUCAGCGACUUAUAUUCUGUAGCAAGGUUAACCGUAUAGGGGAGCCGCAGGGAAACCGAGUCUUAACUGGGCGUUAAGUUGCAGGGUAUAGACCCGAAACCCG
rnacentral:rRNA from 1 species